rnacentral:rRNA from 1 species
GGAUGAACGCUAGCGACAGGCUUAACACAUGCAAGUCGAGGGGCAGCAUAAAAGUAGCAAUACUUUGGUGGCGACCGGCGCACGGGUGAGUAACGCGUAUGCAACCUACCUAUCAGAGGGGAAUAACCCGGCGAAAGUCGGACUAAUACCGCAUAAAACAGGGGCACCGCAUGGUGAUAUUUGUUAAAGAAAUUCGCUGAUAGAUGGGCAUGCGUUCCAUUAGGUAGUUGGUGAGGUAACGGCUCACCAAGCCGACGAUGGAUAGGGGAACUGAGAGGUUGGUCCCCCACACUGGUACUGAGACACGGACCAGACUCCUACGGGAGGCAGCAGUGAGGAAUAUUGGUCAAUGGGCGAGAGCCUGAACCAGCCAAGUCGCGUGAAGGAAGAAGGAUCUAUGGUUCGUAAACUUCUUUUGCAGGGGAAUAAAGUGCGGGACGUGUCCUGUUUUGUAUGUACCCUGAGAAUAAGGAUCGGCUAACUCCGUGCCAGCAGCCGCGGUAAUACGGAGGAUCCGAGCGUUAUCCGGAUUUAUUGGGUUUAAAGGGUGCGUAGGUGGUUUGAUAAGUCAGCGGUGAAAGUUUGCAGCUUAACUGUAAAAAUGCCGUUGAAACUGUCGGACUUGAGUGUAAAUGAGGUAGGCGGAAUGCGUGGUGUAGCGGUGAAAUGCAUAGAUAUCACGCAGAACUCCGAUUGCGAAGGCAGCUUACUAAGCUACAACUGACACUGAAGCACGAAAGCGUGGGGAUCAAACAGGAUUAGAUACCCUGGUAGUCCCAGCCGUAAACGAUGAACACUAGGUGUGGGAGGUAUCGACCCCUUCCGUGCCGCAGCUAACGCAAUAAGUGUUCCGCCUGGGGAGUACGGCCGCAAGGCUAAAACUCAAAGGAAUUGACGGGGGCCCGCACAAGCGGUGGAGCAUGUGGUUUAAUUCGAUGCAACGCGAAGAACCUUACCAGGGUUUGACAUCCCCUGACAGGCAUGGAAACAUGUCCUCGUCCUUCGGGGCGCAGGGAGACAGGUGGUGCAUGGCUGUCGUCAGCUCGUGUCGUGAGAUGUUGGGUUAAGUCCCGCAACGAGCGCAACCCUUGUCCUAAGUUGACAACGAGUAAAGUCGGGAACUCUUAGGAGACCGCCGGCGACAAGUCGGAGGAAGGUGGGGAUGACGUCAAGUCAUCAUGCCCUUUAUGCCCUGGGCGACACACGUGCUACAAUGGCCGGUACAGAGGGCGGCGAAAGCGCGAGCUGGAGCGAAUCCCCCAAAACCGGUCCCAGUUCGGAUCGCAGGCUGCAACUCGCCUGCGUGAAGUAGGAAUCGCUAGUAAUCACGGGUCAGCAUACCGUGGUGAAUACGUUCCCGGGCCU